CCUACGGGGGGCAGCAGUGGGGAAUAUUGGACAAUGGGGGAAACCCUGAUCCAGCGACGCCGCGUGAGUGAAGAAGUAUUUCGGUACGUAAAGCUCUAUCAGCAGGAAAGAAAAUGACGGUACCUGACUAAGAAGCCCCGGCUAACUACGUGACAGCAGCCGCGGUAAUACGUAGGGGGCAAGCGUUAUCCGGAUUUACUGGGUGUAAAGGGAGCGUAGACGGCAGGGCAAGUCUGGAGUGAAAUGCCGGGACCCAACCCCGGACCUGCUGUUGAAACUGGGAGGCUGGAGUGCAGGAGAGGUAAGCGGAAUGCGUGGUGUAGCGGUGAAAUGCGUAGAUAUCACGAAGAACUCCGGCGGCGAAGGCAGCUUGCUGGCCCGUAACUGACGUUGAGGCUCGAAGGCGUGGGUAGCGAACAGGAUUAGAUACCCGAGUAGUC
rnacentral:rRNA from 1 species